GAUCAUGGCUCAGGAUGAACGCUAGCUACAGGCUUAACACAUGCAAGUCGAGGGGCAGCAUUUUUCUAGCAAUAGAAGAGAUGGCGACCGGCGCACGGGUGAGUAACACGUAUCCAACCUACCGAUAACUCCGGAAUAGCCUUUCGAAAGAAAGAUUAAUACCGGAUAGUAUACGAAUAUCGCAUGAUAUUUUUAUUAAAGAAUUUCGGUUAUCGAUGAAGAUGCGUUCCAUUAGUUUGUUGG
rnacentral:rRNA from 1 species